GACAGAGGGUGCAAACGUUGUUCGGAAUUACUGGGCGUAAAGCGUGCGCAGGCGGUUUUGUAAGCCAGAUGUGAAAUCCCCGGGCUUAACCUGGGAAUGGCAUUUGGGACUGCAAGGCUUGAGUGCGGCAGAGGAGACUGGAAUUCCUGGUGUAGCAGUGAAAUGCGUAGAUAUCAGGAGGAACACCGAUGGCGAAGGCAGGUCUCUGGGCCGUAACUGACGCUGAGGAGCGAAAGCGUGGGGAGCGAACAGG
rnacentral:rRNA from 1 species